rnacentral:misc_RNA from 1 species
UCCGAGUUGACCCCGGCAGUCUCUUAUGAGUCCCCACCAUAACGUGCUGGCAACAUAAGACGAGGGUUGCGCUCGUUGCGGGACUUAACCCAACAUCUCACGACACGAGCUGACGACAGCCAUGCACCACCUGUGCACCGGCCCCGAAGGGCUGCCGUGUUUCCACGACAUUCCGGCGCAUGUCAAGCCUUGGUAAGGUUCUUCGCGUUGCGUCGAAUUAAACAACAUGCUCCGCUGCUUGUGCGGGUCCCCGUCAAUUCCUUUGAGUUUUAACCUUGCGGUCGUAAUCCCCAGGCGGGGUGCUUAAUGCGUUAGCUGCGACACCGAAGUCCUAAGGACCCCACCGUCUAGCACUCAUCGUUUACGGCGUGGACUAC